rnacentral:rRNA from 1 species
UUGAACGCUGGCGGCAGGCCUAACACAUGCAAGUCGAGCGGAUGAAGGGAGCUUGCUCCUGGAUUCAGCGGCGGACGGGUGAGUAAUGCCUAGGAAUCUGCCUGGUAGUGGGGGAUAACGUCCGGAAACGGGCGCUAAUACCGCAUACGUCCUGAGGGAGAAAGUGGGGGAUCUUCGGACCUCACGCUAUCAGAUGAGCCCAGGUCGGAUUAGCUAGUUGGUGGGGUAAAGGCCUACCAAGGCGACGAUCCGUAACUGGUCUGAGAGGAUGAUCAGUCACACUGGAACUGAGACACGGUCCAGACUCCUACGGGAGGCAGCAGUGGGGAAUAUUGGACAAUGGGCGAAAGCCUGAUCCAGCCAUGCCGCGUGUGUGAAGAAGGUCUUCGGAUUGUAAAGCACUUUAAGUUGGGAGGAAGGGCAGUAAGUUAAUACCUUGCUGUUUUGACGUUACCAACAGAAUAAGCACCGGCUAACUUCGUG